rnacentral:rRNA from 1 species
GACGAACGCUGGCGGCGUGCCUAAUACAUGCAAGUAGAACGCUGAAGAGAGGAGCUUACUCUUCUUGGAUGAGUUGCGAACGGGUGAGUAACGCGUAGGUAACCUGCCUUGUAGCGGGGGAUAACUAUUGGAAACGAUAGCUAAUACCGCAUAACAAUGGAUGACACAUGUCAUUUAUUUGAAAGGGGCAAUUGCUCCACUACAAGAUGGACCUGCGUUGUAUUAGCUAGUAGGUGAGGUAAUGGCUCACCUAGGCGACGAUACAUAGCCGACCUGAGAGGGUGCUCGGCCAACCUGGGACUGAGACACGGCCCAGACUCCUACGGGAGGCAGCAGUAGGGAAUCUUCGGCAAUGGGGGCAACCCUGGCCGAGCAACGCCGCGUGAGUGAAGAAGGUUUUCGGAUCGUAAAGCUCUGUUGUAAGUCAAGAACGGGUGUGAGAGUGGAAAGUUCACACUGUGACGGUAGCUUACCAGAAAGGGACGGCUAACUACGUG